rnacentral:lncRNA from 1 species
GGCACUCAAGAAAACCAAGACUAGUUGACACAACACCCAAAACUCGAAACUGGCAUAACAAUAAUAUCUCAAAAAUGCUCUGAAAUUGCCGAAAUUCACACAAAAGAGACCCCUAUCCAAAAUUUACAUAUACAAGCUUCCCCAAUCAGCUACAACUCUCCAAGUUUUGAAUUCCUUAAUUUCCUCCUACUAAUUCUCCUCCUAAUCACCCAACUACCAACCACAUCCCCUAAUUCUCUCCUCCUUGACCAAUUCAAACCUCAUCCAGUGG